rnacentral:RNase_P_RNA from 1 species
GAGGCAGGUCGGGCAAUCGCGGUGCAUGCAUCGAGGAAGGUCCGGACUCCACAGGGCGGGGUAGCGGCUAACGGCCGUCCGGCAAGGCGCGCAUUCGUGCGCGGCGAGCCGAGGAACAGGGCCACAGAGACGAGUCUGCGGCGCGGGCGCAGCAAUGCGCACCGACACGGCCAUCUCCGUGUUGCGUGGCCGGGUAACCGGUCACGGCGUUGCAGGGUGAAACGCGGCAACCUCUACCCGGAGCAACAUCAAAUAGGCAUGCGUGCGGCUUCGGCCGCGAAGGGCGGCCCGCCCAAGCAUGCGGGUAGAUGGCUAGAGGCCGGCAGCAAUGCCGGUCCCAGAGGAAUGAUUGCCCGCCAGGCUCGCCUGGCGUACAGAAUCCGGCCUACAGACCUGUCUCACGC